UUGGCCCUGAAUCAAGGCCAACAGUUUGUUGAAGCUGUUGGUUUCAAGAAGGUGCCUAAAGAAAUGUCUUUCUAUGGUCUGUUGGCCAUUUCAGAAAUUUGGAAAUGUGAGCCAGGCAUGAUGGCACAUGCC
ensembl:snoRNA